GUCAACAGUUCGUAGUAACUUCUCAUUUGUUUAAUUUAUUUUUAAUUGACAUCUUCUGGAGGACUUUACAAUGGCCCUGGUCCUUGAUUUGUGCCAAACUGUUCAGAUUUUCAUGCAAUGAAAUACAGACCUAGAGUGACAUGCCAGCUCUUGCUUGAUGGUAGCAGUUUGCAACCAUUGGACAAAAUUUGUGUGGAGAAAAGGUGAAAAUCUUUGAAGCUAUCAACACAUGAUGGCCAAUAGGAAGACUGUUGUAGGGAUGAGAAGUUUAAUGGCGAAUGAAGGCACAUACUCAAAGGAGGACCACAUAGAGCAGUGUUUGGCAGUUUUUGGCACACCAUGUGUUGUAGACUACAUCUUUCCUGAUACUUUGCCAGCAUUAUGACUGUAAGAACAUAAUGGGAGAUCUAGUCUACAAAAACUGGAGUGCUGAAUGUUACCACUUAAAAAGGUUGUUAAAACACUGAAGAUUCAAGAGGUACAAUCUUUUGAGAGCUAGGGGCCAUCUGUCUAGCGCUCUGGAUAAAAUAAGAAUGAGGGCUGCAAUCUAAACCUUGAGGAAUUAAACUCUUCAAUACUUUUUGCACCAUAACCACUUCAUCUCACAAGAGGUUAUGGUGAGUAUAUUUUCCUUGCACUGACUUACCCUCUAACAUUAAACGGUUUUCAAAUGGUUUGACACACUUACUGUCCUCAGGUGCAUGUGUGCUGCAUCUGAUCCAACUGAUACAGAAAUACUUGUAGAUUAGUGGGACCAUUCAAAGGGACAGGUGGUGAUAAUACUUUGGGUUAUUUGCCACCUGUUAGGGUCGACUGCCAAAUGGAUAAAACCAUGUAGGACUAAUAGUGAAUGAGACCUGAUACUUGAGUAAAAACUAAUCCGUUUAACAAUGGGUUCUUCCAAAAUGUCUUCAGUCUGGGCUCGGAGCAAUUAAUUAUCUUCUGUGUUCUGGCUGUUUUGGAAGCUCCCCCUGCUAAAAUCUCUCAAACUUGGCCCAGGAAUGCUAAAACCUCUCCUGUGGAAAAAUAAUCCCUGUACUUGUCCACCUCCUAGAUAAUCUCCAGCUGUUGUAUCAACAGCAUAGACUAGUCUGUUAGUGGGAGGAUCAUCCAUAUUCCAGGCACCGAAUUCUAUUUGAAUUUAAACUACCGGUAUAUGGCCCUCGCAGCACAAAAUGCUGGGUGGAGAAUCUAAAAUUGAUUUAUUGUUGAAGUUGUAAUCGACAAUCAAAUGUCUAUUCAGAUUUUUUUGGAACCUUUGAUUAAGGUGGAAGUAAGACCAAAGUUAACUCUGUAAUAAACCAGAAGCUGAUAUCUAG